CCAUCAUUGGCUGCUGGAAACACUCUUUUCUUUGAUGUUGCCUUGGCCUGCCAAGAUGUUGGCAGUAGAUGCUUUUUCCUGCAUCAGGCUGCCUAGGACAGUAAAUAAAGGAUCACACACACAUACACCUGCUUUUACUGUACAUUCCCUCUUCCUCACCCUCAGGUUCCCCUCUGGACUUCUUCCACACUCCUCCUACCACUCCCUCCCAAGCUGAGCUGGCAGCCAUGGCCUCAGCAGAUGAUCCACCACCACCUUCACCAGCCGACAGCACCACAUCUCCCAUCACCGAUUGGAACCAGAAGCUGCCAGCCCCGUCAGAAUGGGCCCUGAUCAGCAUCAACAGCGUGACGUCGUCAGAGGCCAACACCACGACAGCGUCACACAGGGCAGCAGCAGUGGGUCUGGGCAGCCCCGCCUCACUGCCUCUGUCUGAGCAGAGCUGGCAGGAGAGAGACAGCGGACUGGAGCCUCAGGCUGCAGCAGACAGAGUUGGAGAGGAGAUGACUUUGGUUUUGCUGAGUCUGAUGGAGCAUUACAGGUCCUCCCUCAACCUGAGCCCCCACUCUGAUGUUGCCAUAGGAGCCGCAGAGCUGCUUCGGCACUUAAUAACUGAGAGAGAGGAGCUGGUUGGAGAGGUGGACUCACUGAGGGAGACGCUCAGGAGCCUCAGCGCACGAGUGGGAAGGAGGCACCCCAAUGGCACACAACCAGUGCGGAGCAGCAGCACCCAGGCAAAGGCGCUCCGGACCCACCCACCAGUCUGCAGAUAGCAGGACAGACCUACCAAGCAGCCGAUACUGACCUCAACCACCGGAACAGCUAGAGCCGCCCCCCAGCAAACAGCAACAUCCUGGAGCGCCAAGCAACCCUGCCCCAACCUCGGCACAGAUGCCAGCACCCCCCAGCGUGGAUACCCCCCACACCAGCGCAGAAGGCCGCCCCGGACACGCCCCCAAGGCAACCAGGAAACGAGACAAGCACCAAGCCACACCCAAAGGGAAGAGGCACCCCCACGCCCUUCCAGGCCGGCAGCGCCCGGAGAGACCCCGCAAAGACCCCGCAAAGAGAGCCCCCAGAAAAGUUGGGAUUGUGCCAGAUUGGAGACAUGCUAGUUUUUAAUUGAACAUUCGUAAUGUCCAGGGCUUUCCACCACGCAGUCAGGGUGGACGCAAUCAGUGGGUUUUUAAAGCAAUUAUGACGUUUGAUGAAAGGGAGAGUUUAUAUAUAUGCAGUCCAGCUGUUCUAUUUCUAGCCA
rnacentral:lncRNA from 1 species